AGCGGGAUAGGGGAGCCAGGUUACCCCGUCGGGCUCAUAACCCGAAGUUCAGUGGUUCGAAUCCACUUCCCGCUA
rnacentral:tRNA from 1 species